UACGGAGGGUGCGAGCGUUGUCCGGAAUCACUGGGCGUAAAGGGCGCGUAGGCGGCCUGAUAAGUAGGGGGUGAAAUCCUGCGGCUUAACCGCAGGGCUGCCUUCUAAACUGUCAGGCUAGAGCACAGUAGAGGCAGGUGGAAUUCCCGGUGUAGCGGUGGAAUGCGUAGAGAUCGGGAAGAACACCCGUGGCGAAGGCGGCUCUCUGGGACGGUACUGACGCUGAGACGCGAAAGCGUGGGGAGCGAUCCGG
rnacentral:rRNA from 1 species